AUUGAACGCUGGCGGCAGGCUUACCACAUGCAAGUCGAACGCGCGGCGGACGGGCGAGUAAUGUCUGGGAAACUGCCUGAUGGAGGGGGAUACCUACUGGAAACGGUAGCUAAUACCGCAUACCAUCAGAUCUGCCCAUAUGGGAUUAACUAGUAGGUAGGGUAAUGGCUCACCUAGGCGACGGUCCCUAGCUGGUCUGAGAGGAUGACAAGCCACACUGGAACUGAGGCACGGUCCAGAGUCCGACGGGAGGCAGCAGUUGGGAAUAUUGCACAAGGGGCGCAAGCCGGAUGCAGCCAUGCCGCGUGUAUGAAGAAGGCCUUCGGGUUGUAAAGAACUUUCAGCGAGGAGGCGUUACUCGCAGAAGAAGCACCGGCUAACUCCGUGCCAGCAGCCGCGGUGAUAG
rnacentral:rRNA from 1 species